GCAGUACUGGAGGGCCCAGAAAUGGAGGAGGACCGAGAGAAUCUCAAGCAGCACUACAGGCUCCUUCUGGGAAGUCUCCUCAUAGCAGCGCCUAAUCCUGGCACCCUCCUCCAACUUCUAACUGACCUCCGAGGAUACGCCCUGGGUGAAAGCGGUGAGGCUCAGGAUUUAGCCGCCAGGAGCAUUUCAUUGCUACUGAAAAUUGCCCGCAGAUACCCGCGCCUUAGAGUACGUACCUCGCUUU